rnacentral:rRNA from 1 species
UACGUAGGUGACAAGCGUUGUUCGGAUUUACUGGGCGUAAAGGGCGCGUAGGCGGCCACCGCAAGUCGACUGUGAAAUCUCCGGGCUUAACCCGGAAAGGUCAGCCGAUACUGCGGGGCUAGAGUGCAGAAGGGGCAACUGGAAUUCUCGGUGUAGCGGUGAAAUGCGUAGAUAUCGAGAGGAACACCUGCGGCGAAGGCGGGUUGCUGGGCUGACACUGACGCUGAGGCGCGAAAGCUAGGGGAGCGAACGGG